GAUGAACGCUGACAGAAUGCUUAACACAUGCAAGUCUUUGGCGAAGCUGUGCUCGCCCAGCCUAGCCAAGGCGGACGGGUGAGUAACGCGUAAGGAACUUGCCCUGCAGUCAGGGAUAACAGACGGAAACGACUGAUAAGACCUGGUAAAGUCAGGCGGACUCAUGUCCAGCCUGAUGAAAAGAGAUGCUGCAGGGGAGCCUUGCGUCCUAUUAGCUUGUUGGUGGGGUAACGGCCCACCAAGGCGAUGAUAGGUAGCCGGCCUGAGAGGGUGGACGGCCACAAGGGGACUGAGAUACGGCCCUUACUCCUACGGGAGGCAGCAGUGGGGAAUAUUGGACAAUGGGGGCAACCCUGAUCCAGCAAUUCUGUGUGCACGAUGAAGGUUUUCGGAUUGUAAAGUGCUUUCAGCAGGGAAGAAAAAAAUGACGGUACCUGCAGAAGAAGCGACGGCUAAAUACGUG
rnacentral:rRNA from 1 species